GACGUAGGGCGCGAGCGUUGUCCGGAUUUAUUGGGCGUAAAGAGCUCGUAGGCGGCUUGUCGCGUCGACUGUGAAAACCCGUGGCUCAACCAUGUGGUCUGCAGUCGAUACGGGCAGGCUAGAAUUCGGUAGGGGAGACUGGAAUUCCUGGUGUAGCGGUGAAAUGCGUAGAUAUUGGGAGGAACACCAGUGGCGAAGGCGGCUCACUGGACCGGUACUGACGCUGAGGCGCGAAAGCGUGGGGAGCAAACGGG
rnacentral:rRNA from 1 species